UACCAUAUUCCCUUUGCCCAGCAACUCACUCAACUUUUGCCUAGAAUCUCAGUAACGUCCUUUAUAGCAAAAGGACCCCGCACAGGAUCGUGCAUUGUACCCAGCUGUCAUGUCUUUCAAAUCGCCUGUAAUCUAGAGAAGUUUCUCAGUUUGCCUGUACUUUCAUGGCCUUGACUGUUUUGAAUAUUACAGACCAGUCUGAAGGCUGUCCCUCAAUUUGGAUUUGUCCAAUGAUUCUUCAUGAUUAGACCCACGUGACGCAUUUUUGAUUGGAAUAUCCCAGAAGGGACUGUUCCCCUUGCAUCAUUAAAUGGCAUCCAUGGUAAUGUUAACUUUCAUGAUUUGAUUAAGAUUGUAUCAGCCAGUUUCCUUCAUGGUGAAGUUAGUCCCCCCUCCCUAUCUAAUUACUAAAAUAUUUCUCCAGGAGAUACUUUGAAAGGGUGUUGGCAGGGCUGGUCACCUAUGCAGUACUGAGUCCUGCACUGAGAAGGGUUUGGUUCAUUUUUUUUGCUGAUUUCCAGGAAGGCAGGCAGGGAGGGAGGAAGGAAGAAGGCAGGUAGGGAAGGAGGGAGAGGGGAGCAAACAGGCAUACAUUCAGGUUUUGAUUUGUUCCAUUUGAGUUACCAGGCAUUAAGAGAAAAACAAACUAGGGCUAAAGAUAAAGGCUGGCCCAGUACAUGCACAAAGUGACUGAAAUAGGAAUAAAUCUCUCCAAGGGCAUCAGAAAGAAAACGAGGAACUCACAGGUGGGUAGAGUGUAGAAAGGGAAGCCAGUAAGGAUCGAAAGGAAUGCACCAGAGAGCAAGGGAAAUCCAUGGGUGCCCUGUUACUACAGAAACCAGAGGAAAGGGGGCUUUAUGAGGGAAAGGAGUGGUCAGCUAUGUCUGUGCCACAGAGAAGUGGAAAGAGAUGGCUGCCCAAGGCGAGAUCCCUGGCGCUAAUACCUAACUACAGGGAAGGGAGGUUUGUUCGUCUGUGUAUUCAACAAGCAUUGGUGGGUGGGGUUAAGCACAUGCUUGGGGUAGAAAGGGCGCUGCCAAAGCCGGCUUCCUGGGUGUACCACCUGCGUAGGAACACAAGGUCCUGCGUUUAGAGGUUCCCAGGCUUGGGCUCACGCUCUUAAAAUUCUUAUUGUUUGAGCAAAUGGUCUUGCAUUUUCAUUUUGCACCAGGACCCUGUAAAUGGGGUCCCGGUAGCUGGUCCUGGGCGAUGGAGCAAGUGCAAACUCUAAUUUCCUUUGUGAAUCCUAGGGAAUGUGGGAGGGCAAUAUCCUGCCCCAGUGGCAAAGUGGGGGUAAAAUUUAAUUUCGCUUGGCCACGUGUGUUGGCUGAGAGUCGUGAACGGUGGAAAGAGAUUCCAACGCCCCAUAGAUUUACAGAAGCGGCGCCGGAUGGGUUCAAGGCCUUGGGGUGUGAUGCGUCCGACGGCCUUUAAGGGGCAACAAGACUGGAGGAAAGCAGAGGCAGGACAGCAGAGGCAAAGAAGAUUUCACAGGUUUGCCAUCCCCAGCUAACUGAAGGUGCUGUGGCAUCUCACCUCCUGCACCUUUUCCCAAGACAGAAGAAAUGAGAGGGACAAUAACUUCCCUUUAUCAAGUGGUGUGCUAGCUUGUUGGCAAUGGGGCCAGUGGAUGCUCAAGUAUCAUGUAAAGCUUCUCAGGGUGAUCUGAAAGGCAAUCAGUUGUCUUGUCAGAUGGAGAAGGAUGGGCUUUGGUGACUGAACAGUUAAUAAGUAAAAAGAUUAUGAGACUGGCCAGGUCUAAAAGAAGUAUUGGAAAAUCGGAGUGCUCCCAGGAAAAGCUGCCCACUUCAGCCCAUUGUAAGGACUUUCUAUGGGAAGACUGCAGAAGUUACAGCGCAGAAGCCUACUGGAGAAGGACUCCCAGUGAGACUGGCUGCUGCUCCAGAGUAUUUUGAAUAAAGAAGCUGGGUUUCUGAGAGGUAAAAGAACCUGCUGAAGAUCAUAAAGGCAGUGCCGCAGUUAAAACCAGGCUUGCAAACCAGGCUUGUCUGACUGCAAGGCCCUUCGUGCCUUCCAGCGCCCUCCCCGCCGCCUCUGCAGGGAAAACAACAUACUUCAAAUCGAAGGAGAACUGCUAACUCAACAAAAAGAGUAAAUAACGCCCGACUUUACAACCACAAACGAGUCAAAUCAUGUAAAAAUGUCAUAAAACGGAGAAGGAAACACUAACCCAAAAGGAAAAUGGAAAG